rnacentral:rRNA from 1 species
AGUGAACGCUGGCGGUAGGCCUAACACAUGCAAGUCGAACGGCAGCACAGUAAGAGCUUGCUCUUACGGGUGGCGAGUGGCGGACGGGUGAGGAAUACAUCGGAAUCUACUUUUUCGUGGGGGAUAACGUAGGGAAACUUACGCUCAUACCGCAUCCGACCUACGGGUGAAAGCAGGGGAUCUUCGGACCUUGCGCGGUUGAAUGAGCCGAUGUCGGAUUAGCUAGUUGGCGGGGUAAAGGCCCACCCAGGCGACGAUCCGUAGCUGGUCUGAGAGGAUGGUCAGCCACACUGGAACUGAGACACGGUCCAUACUCCUACGGGAGGCAGCAGUGUGGAAUAUUGGGCAGUGGGCGGAAGCAUGAUCCAGCCAUACCGCGUCGGUGAAGAAGGCCUUCGGGUUGUAAAGCCCUUUUGUUGGGAAAGAAAAGCAGCAGGUUAAUACGCCGCUGUUCUGACGGUACCCAAAGAAUAAGCACCGGCUAACUUCGUG